rnacentral:rRNA from 1 species
GACGAACGCUGGCGGCGUGCUUAACACAUGCAAGUCGAACGGAAAGGCCCUGCUUUUGUGGGGUGCUCGAGUGGCGAACGGGUGAGUAACACGUGAGUAACCUGCCCUUGACUUUGGGAUAACUUCAGGAAACUGGGGCUAAUACCGGAUAGGAGCUCCUGCUGCAUGGUGGGGGUUGGAAAGUUUCGGCGGUUGGGGAUGGACUCGCGGCUUAUCAGCUUGUUGGUGGGGUAGUGGCUUACCAAGGCUUUGACGGGUAGCCGGCCUGAGAGGGUGACAGGCCACAUUGGGACUGAGAUACGGCACAGCCUCGUACGGGAGGCAGGAGUGGGGAAUAUUGCACAAUGGGCGGAAGGCUGAUGCAGUACCGCCGCGUGCGGGAUGACGGCCUUCGGGUUGUAAACCGCUUUCGCCUGUGACGAAGCGUGAGUGACGGUAAUGGGUAAAGAAGCACCGGCUAACUACGUG